UAUCUCUUACCCAGCACUCAGUAGUAGGAAGGAAGCUGUGAGGGGUGACUCUCUCUUACCCAGUACUCAGUAGUAGGAAGGGGGCUGUGAGGGGUGACUCCCUCUUACCCAGUACUCAGUAGUUGGAAGUUGGCUGUGAGGGGUGACUCUCUCUUACCCAGUACUCAAUAGUAGGAAGGGGGCUGUGAGGGGUGACUCUCUCUUACCCAGUACUCAGUAGUAGGAAGGUGGCUGUGAGGGGUGACUCUCUCUUACCCAGUACUCAGUAGUAGGAAGGUGGCUGUGAGGGGUGACUCUCUCUUACCCAGCACUCAGUAGUAGGAAGGUGGCUGUGAGGGGUGACUCUCUCUUACCCAGCACUCAGUAGUAGGAAGGAAGCUGUGAGGGGUGACUCUCUCUUACCCAGUACUCAGUAGUAGGAAGGUGGCUGUGAGGGGUGACUCUGUUACCCAGCACUCAGUAGUAGGAAGGGGGCUGUGAGGGGUGACUCUCUCUUACCCAGCACUCAGUAGUAGGAAGGGGGCUGAGCGAGAGAGUUGGUACCCACCCAGUUUAGUCCAGCUGAUGAUCUGGCUGAUGAGAGGCAGACCCUGUUUCAGCUGCAGACUGGAC
rnacentral:lncRNA from 1 species